rnacentral:rRNA from 1 species
UGCAUCGAUGAAGAACGCAGCGAAAUGCGAUACGUAAUGUGAAUUGCAAAUUCAGUGAAUCAUCGAGUCUUUGAACGCACAUUGCGCCCCCUGGUAUUCCGGGGGGCAUGCCUGUCCGAGCGUCAUUUCUGCCCUCAAGCACGGCUUGUGUGUUGGGCCCCGUCCUCCGAUUCCGGGGGACGGGCCCGAAAGGCAGCGGCGGCACCGAGUCCGGUCCUCGAGCGUAUGGGGCUUUGUCACCCGCUCUGUAGGCCCGGCCGGCGCUUGCCGAUCAACCCAAAUUUUUAUCCAGGUUGACCUCGGAUCAGGUAGGGAUACCCGCUGAACUUAAGCAUAUCAAUAAGCGGAGGAA